UGGAAUUUCCUGUGUACCGGUAAAAUGCGUAAAUAUAGGAAGGAACACCAGUGGCAAAGGCAACCACCUGGACUGAUACUGACACUGAGGUGCAAAACCGUGGGGAGCAAACAGGAUUAAAUACCCUGGUAGUCCACCCCGUAAACAAUGUCAACAAGCCGUUGGAAUCCUUGAAAUUUUAGUGGGGCAGCUAACGCAUUAAGUUAACCGCCUGGGGAGUACGGCCGCAGGGUUAAAACUCAAAGGAAUUGACGGGGGCCCGCACAAGCGGUGGAGCAUGUGGUUUAAUUCUAACCACCGCCAAGAACCUUCCCGGGCCUAGAUUUCCAAAGAACUUUCCAAAAAUAAAUUGGUGCCUUCGGGAACUCUGACCGGGGUGCUGCUUGGCUGUCGUCAGCUCGUGUCACGAGAUGUUGGGUUAAGUCCCGUAACAAGCGCAACCCUUGUCCUUAAUUCCCAGCACGCCAUGGGUGGGCACUCUAAGGAAACUGCCGUUGACAAACCGAAGAAAGGUGGGGAUAACCUCAGGUCAUCAUGGCCCUUACGGCCUGGGC
rnacentral:rRNA from 1 species